rnacentral:rRNA from 1 species
GACGAACCGUGCGAACGUUAUUCGGAAUCACUGGGCUUAAAGCGCGUGUAGGCGGAUGGGAACGUCGGUCGUUGAAAGCCCCCGGCUCAACCGGGGAACUGGCGCCGAAACGACCCGUCUGGAGGGACGUAGGGGGACCUGGAACUUCCGGUGGAGCGGUGAAAUGCGCAGAUAUCAGGAGGAACACCGGUGGCGAAGGCGGGUCUCUGGGCCGAUAUUGACGCUGAGGAGCGAAAGCGUGGGGAGCAAACAGG